AUUGAACGCUGGCGGCAGGCCUAACACAUGCAAGUCGAGCGGAUGAGGAAAGCUUGCUUUUCGAUUCAGCGGCGGACGGGUGAGUAAUGCCUAGGAAUCUGCCUGUUAGUGGGGGAUAACUCGGGGAAACUCGGGCUAAUACCGCAUACGUCCUACGGGAGAAAGUGGGGGCUCUUCGGACCUCACGCUAACAGAUGAGCCUAGGUCUGAUUAGCUAGUAGGUGAGGUAAUGGCUCACAUAGGCGACGAUCCGUAACUGGUCUGAGAGGAUGAUCAGUCACACUGGAACUGAGACACGGUCCCGACUCCUACGGGAGGCAGCAGUGGGGAAUAUUGGACAAUGGGCGAAAGCCUGAUCCAGCCAUGCCGCGUGUGUGAAGAAGGUCUUCGGAUUGUAAAGCACUUUAAGUUGGGAGGAAGGGUAUUCCCCUAAUACGUGGGUACUUUGACGUUACCAACAGAAUAAGCACCGGCUAACUCUGUGCCAGCCGCCGCCGUAACAC
rnacentral:rRNA from 1 species